GAAAAUUGACUACAACACCCGACAAGUUAUCCUACUCAAGCUAGGAAAUAAUUUAGAUUAAAUCCCAUUUUAAUUCGGAAACUCAUCUUAAUUAAUUAUCCAUAACAUGCAAUCUAAUAUUAAAACAAAUCUAACUAGAUAAAUUCUAAGCAUGCGGUCCUAACCUAUUUAAGAAACCAUCCUAAUUUGUCAUGCAAUCUGA
rnacentral:lncRNA from 1 species